rnacentral:rRNA from 1 species
ACGCUCGACACCUACGGGAGGCAGCAGUGAGGGAUAUUGGUCAAUGGGGGAAACCCUGAACCAGCAACGCCGCGUGAGGGAUGACGGUCUUCGGAUUGUAAACCUCUGUCCUCUGUGAAGAUAAUGACGGUAGCAGAGGAGGAAGCUCCGGCUAACUACGUGCCAACAGCCGCGGUAAUCUGAGCGGGCUGGCAAGGC